rnacentral:rRNA from 1 species
GCCGGAUUAGCUAGUUGGUAGGGUAACGGCCUACCAAGGCGACGAUCCGUAGCUGGUCUGAGAGGACGACCAGCCACACUGGGACUGAGACACGGCCCAGACUCCUACGGGAGGCAGCAGUGGGGAAUAUUGGACAAUGGGGGAAACCCUGAUCCAGCGACGCCGCGUGUGUGAAGAAGGCCUGCGGGUUGUAAAGCACUUUUAGUGGGGAUGAAAAGCUCAGGGAUAACACCCCUGGGUCUUGACCUAACCCACAGAAAAAGCACCGGCUAACUCUGUGCCAGCAGCCGCGGUAAUACAGAGGGUGCAAGCGUUAAUCGGAAUUACUGGGCGUAAAGCGUGCGUAGACGGUUAUGUAAGUCGGGUGUGAAAGCCCCGGGCUCAACCUGGGAAUGCCAUUCGAGACUGCAUAGCUAGGGUGCGGAAGAGGGAAGCGGAAUUUCCGGUGUAGCGGUGAAAUGCGUAGAUAUCGGAAGGAACACCAGUGGCGAAAGCGGCUUCCUGGUCCAGCACCGACGUUCACGCACGAAAGCGUGGGGAGCA